GACGUAGGGUGCGAGCGUUGUCCGGAUUUAUUGGGCGUAAAGAGCUCGUAGGCGGCUUGUUACGUCGGCUGUGAAAACCCGCGGCUCAACCGUGGGCUUGCAGCUGAUACGGGCAGGCUAGAGUUCGGUAGGGGAGACUGGAAUUCCUGGUGUAGCGGUGAAAUGCGCAGAUAUCAGGAGGAACACCGGUGGCGAAGGCGGGUCUCUGGGCAGUAACUGACGCUGAGGAGCGAAAGCGUGGGGAGCGAACAGG
rnacentral:rRNA from 1 species